rnacentral:rRNA from 1 species
CCCUUAGAUGUUCUGGGCAGCACGCGCGCUACAAAGGUCUUCGCAAACGGAUGCAUUCUCGAAGGAGAAUGCCAAUCUUGGAAUCUAUGCCUUGGUCGGGACAGUUGCUUGCAAUUUUUCGACUCGAACCAGGAAUUCCUUGUAAUCGUGAUUCAUCACAUCACGAUGAAUACGUCCCUGCCCUUUGUACACACCGCCCGUCGCUCCUACCGAUCGAAGAGUUAGGUGAAUUGUUUUGAUCGAUAAGAUUUGACUAUGGUCAACUCUCGUUGUGAAAUUCUGUGAAUCUGACUGUUUAGAGGAAGGAAAAGUCGUAACA